rnacentral:rRNA from 1 species
CCCUUAGAUGUUCUGGGCCGCACGCGUGCUACACUGAUGCAUUCAACGAGUCUAAAACCUGGUCUGAUAGGGCUGGGUAAUCUUUUGAAAGUGCAUCGUGAUUGGGAUAGAUGAUUGCAAUUCUUCAUCUUCAACGAGGAAUGCCUAGUAAACGCAAGUCAUCAGCUUGCAUUGAUUACGUCCCUGCCCUUUGUACACACCGCCCGUCGCUACUACCGAUUGAACGGUUUAGUGAGGGCCUCGGAUUGGUCUCGGCCCGCUCUUUACCGGGCGGCGCCGUUGGUCGAGAAGACGCUCGAACUUGAUCGUUUAGAGGAAGUAAAAGUCGUAACA